rnacentral:rRNA from 1 species
CUCCGGUUGAUCCUGCCGGACCCGACUGCUAUCAGAGUGGGACUAAGCCAUGCGAGUCAACGUAGCAAUACGUGGCAUACGGCUCAGUAACACGUAGUCAACAUGCCCAGGGGACGAGGAUAACCUCGGGAAACUGAGGAUAAACCUCGAUAGGCCAUGAUUUCUGGAAUGAUUCUUGGCUCAAACCUAUAUGGCCCCUGGAUUGGACUGCGGCCGAUCAGGCUGUUGGUGAGGUAAUGGCCCACCAAACCUAUUACCGGUACGGGCUCUGAGAGGAGGAGCCCGGAGAUGGGCACUGAGACAAGGGCCCAGGCCCUAUGGGGCGCAGCAGGCGCGAAACCUCUGCAAUAGGCGAAAGCCUGACAGGGUUACUCUGAGUGACUUUCGCUAAGAAAGUCUUUUGGCACCUCUAAAAAGGGUGCAGAAUAAGGGGUGGGCAAGUCUGGUGUCAGCCGCCGCGGUAAUACCAGCACCCCGAGUGGUCGGGACGAUUAUUGGGCCUAAAGCAUCCGUAGCCGGUUCUGCAAGUCCCCCGUUAAAUCCAGCUGCUCAACAGAUGGGCCGCGGAGGAUACUACAGAGCUAGGAGGCAGGAGAGACAAGCGGUACUCAGUGGGUAGGGGUAAAAUCCGUUGAUCCAUUGAAGACCACCAGUGGCGAAGGCGGCUUGCCAGAAUGCGCUCGACGGUGAGGGAUGAAAGCUGGGGGAGCAAACCGGAUUAGAUACCCGGGUAGUCCCAGCCGUAAACGAUGCAGACUCGGUGAUGGGUUGGCUUCGCGCUAACCCAGUGCCGCAGGGAAGCCGUUAAGUCUGCCGCCUGGGUAGUACGGUCGCAAGACUGAAACUUAAAGGAAAUGGCGGGGGAGCA